UACGUAGGGUGCAAGCGUUAAUCGGAAUUACUGGGCGUAAAGCGUGCGUAGGCGGCUCGUUAAGUCUGAUGUGAAAGCCCUGGGCUCAACCUGGGAAUGGCAUUGGAAACUGGCGGGCUAGAGUGCGGUAGAGGGUAGUGGAAUUCCCGGUGUAGCAGUGAAAUGCGUAGAGAUCGGGAGGAACAUCUGUGGCGAAGGCGACUGCCUGGACCAGCACUGACACUGAGGCACGAAAGCGUGGGGAGCAAACAGG
rnacentral:rRNA from 1 species